UACGUAGGGUGCAAGCGUUGUCCGGAAUUAUUGGGCCUAAAGCAUCCGUAGCCGGUUCUGCAAGUCUUCCGUUAAAUCCACCUGCUUAACAGAUGGGCUGCGGAAGAUACUAUAGAGCUAGGAGGCGGGAGAGGCAAGCGGUACUCGAUGGGUAGGGGUAAAAUCCGUUGAUCCAUUGAAGACCACCAGUGGCGAAGGCGGCUUGCCAGAACGCGCUCGACGGUGAGGGAUGAAAGCUGGGGGAGCAAACCGG
rnacentral:rRNA from 1 species